UACGUAGGGCGCAAGCGUUGUCCGGAAUUAUUGGGCGUAAAGAGCUCGUAGGCGGUGUGUCGCGUCUGCUGUGAAAACCUGAGGCUCAACCUCGGGCUUGCAGUGGGUACGGGCAGACUAGAGUGCGGUAGGGGUGACUGGAAUUCCUGGUGUAGCGGUGGAAUGCGCAGAUAUCAGGAGGAACACCGAUGGCGAAGGCAGGUCACUGGGCCGCAACUGACGCUGAGGAGCGAAAGCAUGGGGAGCGAACAGG
rnacentral:rRNA from 1 species